UGUAUGUAUAUAUAUAUAUAUAUAUAUAUGUAUAUGUAUAUAUGUGUUUUUUCUUCUUUGUUUUUAUCUUUUCUUUUUUUUUAGCACCACCCAUGCGCCCCAAAAUACCUGUGUCCAUUCCUAAAGAGUUGAUGUUCCUUGUAAAAGAUACGACAAAAGUGGAGAGAACGGAUUCAACUACAGGAGACAGCAGCACUAUAGACACCUCUCGAGUGUGCAGGACACUUACUUUUGAGGAGUGUGGCAAAAGCAGUAAGGCUGUAUUGCACUUGAAAUUAUUCAAAUGUUGUGUUAAAAAAAGUCUAAUUAUACAAUUUUAUUUAUCCAUCUUUUUAGAAGAUCUCUCUUCUUCAGCAACCACUACAUAUAGUCUCCAACAGACAGCUGAGGCAUCACAUGGAACCCUCCCACCUUCUGAAUCCUCCUCUUCCCCUCAUACACCCGAGCCACCACACAGUAAGAUGUUUUCAUAACUCUUUUCUCAAGUGCUACUCUGCCCCAGAAGUGUCCUUUAUUAUAUAGUCUAUAAUGAGAAGAAUUUAACAAAAGUGUAAAUGUUAUGACAUUGCACUAAUCUACUUUUUCUUUUUUCAUCCGUUUUCUCAGGUGGUCCUUCUGUUUUUGUUCCCCCACUGACACUCAGAUCAUCCCCUCAUACACCUGAGACACCACACAGUAAGAUGUUUUUAUAACUACUCUGAAGGUUUUACUAUGGCCAAAAUAUGUUUUAAUUUAUUAUACAAUCUGUGAUGAUAAUACAAUGUGUGAAAAUGACUACAUAUCACAAAUUAUGUUUUUGUGUUUCAUCCUUGUUCCCACAGUUUUUGUUGCCCCACCGGCACAGAGACCAGAUCAGGAUAUAAGCACUUGGACCUGUUCUUAUCAUCAGAAAGUGUGGAUGAAGACAGAGCUCCAAUCUCUGGGACUGUGGCCUGGGUCCCACCAUAUGCUCAAGCCAGGAAACGCCCUUUCAUUAUGGCGCCUCCCUCCACAGCCAGAACUCAUUGACACUGUGUUAGCACUCCCAUCCCGCAAUUUCUUUCAGCUCCAUCCAUUUUUUAUUUGGAAACCAGAAAGUGACGUCAUGGUGAGACUAAGAAAUAAUUAUAUACUCCCAUGUCUUCAUGGUUGUCCAAAGCCAGAUAUAGUCUCAGCUGGUGUGGGGGUAAGUUAAUACCAAUUUCCAAAACCAUCAUUUUAAAUAUCAUUGUAAAUGA
rnacentral:lncRNA from 1 species